rnacentral:lncRNA from 1 species
UCUGGGAUUUUGUAUUCGGCUCUCGUGGAUUUUGCAAGGACGGAUCACACUCGAUCUGGCAAAAUCCACCCGAGCCGAAUACAGCAUCCCAGAUUGAGCUACUGUUAUAAUAACCCUAUUGUAUCUCUUUUAUUCUGUAUGUACCGGAACUGUUAUACAAGUUUAGCAACGGUAGUUUUAAAAUGAUUACGUGAAAACCGGGCGUAUCAUGAUUACCAAAGCCAGUAUGCUCUUGUUACAUUUAAUAUCAUAUUGUACAGAUUUUCGUCAUUACUACAAAGUAAAAUGCUCGAAAAUUCCUUUCGUUUCGUGCCUAAAAUAUCGUAAAUCAAAAGCCGGCCGGGUGUGCUUCAUUGAGUUGGACAUUUUAUGUGAAUGUUCCGUACUGUGUACUAUCAUGUGUUAUUCCCCACUCGGAUAAAUGCUUUUCAUCAUUUCUUUUUUUUUGUACAUACAUGCGACAUAUAUAAUCUAAUGAUAAAACGGUAGCCUUUAUACAAUGAUCGUAUUGAAGUUUGAACAUUCUGUAAACGUUUUACUGUUUGCUGUACAAUUAACGCUUGUCUAGCUUCAUCAAGUUUAGACAUGCCAAAGAAGUCCAUGAAAGUAUAGAUGUUUAAUAUGAACUCAGUGUCCUUGUAACGUUGAUGUUUAUUAUGCCCACCACCCCUUUAAAGAGGAGGAGGUAUAUUGUAAUACAUUAGUCUGUCGGUAGACCGUUUGGUUUCCAAUCAAUUACUAGAGAAUGCUUGGUCUCACAAUCAUCGAACUUCAACGGAUGUUUGCCUGUGGACAGCAGAUGACCACAAUUGUCUUUGGGGGUCUAAGUCAAAGGUCAAAGUCAUAGUGACCUUGAGACUUAAAAAUGUUCCCGCUCAAUAACUAAAGAACACUUUGACCAACAGCCAUCAAACUUCACGGAAUGAUUGCCUGCGGUCAAUAAAUGACCCCUGUUUUUUGAGGGGUUAGUCGGUAAAAGGUCAAGGGCACAGUGCCCUUGAGAUUGAGGACGGCUUAAUAACAGAUACCACUUGGACGUUCAAUUGUCAAAUGCCAGUAGUCACUAGAUAUUUUAGGGGUCAGUAUGACAAAGGUGAAGUUAAAGUUGGCUCAAAAAUGAAAAUGGUUUCCACGUAACAAGUUAAGAAUACUUUGGCCAACAGUUGUCACGACUUCGUCGGAUUUCUAAGCUGAGUGUCACGGAUUUCAGGAAGUUUUCUGUGUUACUUACCGUUUUCGAAAACGAAAGUAGUUCGGCAUUUCACAGACUUCGUCUGUAGACAUUUUUCAUGUAGCCUAUCAGCAACAGGCAAAUACAUUAGACUUAUUUUGCCAUUCACAUAAUCUGUUACAUUAAUAAGCAUAAAAAACACUAUAUCAUUUAAAAUAUAAGUUGGAUAUUGAACAGACAUAUCAUUUCUAUGGAUUCACAGAAUUUAAUAAUGGUAAAUAACACAGAAAUCGUCCUGAAAUCCAUGACUCUGAACCAAGGAUUGUCUAAACCAUUUCUUCGUUAAGGCCUACCCAACUAACAAUCUAUCUGCGCAAAUAAUGUUUCUGUUUCUUAGUUAUCAUUUUCUUUUACACUGUCAUCAUGUCUUGAUUAAUGACUGUGUCUGGCUGUUGUGUACGCAUCAGUUAACUUGUUUAUAAUUUAAAAUAACCUGAUGAACUUUGUAGAAUGUAUAUAUCCACUGUUGUAUAAAGUUGAGACUGAAUAAACCAUUUGUUAUA